CAAAGAUCCUAAAGGAAAGGCAGUGACUGAGGGGCGCAGGGGUUGUUGAUGGACAUCCAGCUGUUCCCCCAAACUGGGGAGGAACAGGUCAACUGACAGAUCACUGGCAUGAGAUGUAAUAGAAACUAUGGCCUCCUCCUCCAAUUGCUAGUCCUUGGAAAAAGCCGUGUGUCUGUGACGGCAGAAGAAAAAGAUCCGGAUAGGAUUCUACUUUAAAAGGAUUAGGGCCUGAGCAGUCACACAUCUACAGCCUGCAUUGUUCCUUUGAAGCUCUGUGACUGGCUGUCAACAGCCAUCAGACGUGGUCAGACCCCUGUGCAAGAAGAGUCCAGACCAAGGGAGUCACAAAAACUGUCCAAGAAACUUAAUUUUUUCUUAUUGAUUAUUGCAAAUGAUUGUUGUACUGAAUGUUUAAACUUUCAAUUAAAAAAUGAUGGUGUAUCUGUAGCACAUGCUAGCAAAUCUCACAGCCAGCUACAGUACACUACACUCACUGGCUGUUGUGCAGUUUGUUUGCCGGCAAAACUAAUUAUUGAAUUAAUCUACGCAGAAGACAGAUGAUCUUUUCUAAAUCUGGAACAUACCAAUGAGUGAUGUGAUGUGACGACAGAACAGUAUAGCUCAUUAUUUAUGCUGUCCAACAACUUCCUUCUUUGUUGAAACUUAGCUGAGAAUAAUGAAGCUAUAUUUAAAUUUCUAUUGUUUGUAUUACACUAGAUAUCUAGCUUGACCAUAUGUUACAUUAUGUUAGAUUAUUUUUUAGUCUAGUUAGUUAGAUUCCAGACAAACAUUUAACAGUGGCCCAGUAAAUUUACUUACAUGGUCGUUGGAAAUGUUUAAAUAAAGCUUUGUUAUAUGGCUAAUACCAGGUGGAUUGGAAAGCCAGGACGUCAUUCAUUUUAGUGGAGAUUGCAUGUGGAGUCAGUGAGUUAAUGAAAUAAGUUACUCAUUAACACUUUGGGAGAGAUAGUUCAUUUUAAUGAGCAACCA